rnacentral:rRNA from 1 species
GUGGGGAAUUUUGGACAAUGUGCGCAAGCCUGAUCCAGCAAUGCCGCGUGCAGGAAGAAGGCCUUCGGGUUGUAAACUGCUUUUGUACGGAACGAAAAGGCUCUGGUUAAUACCUGGGGCUCAUGACGGUACCGUAAGAAUAAGCACCGGCUAACUACGUGCCAGCAGCCGCGGUAAUACGUAGGGUGCAAGCGUUAAUCGGAAUUACUGGGCGUAAAGCGUGCGCAGGCGGUUUUGUAAGACAGACGUGAAAUCCCCGGGCUCAACCUGGGAAUGGCGUUUGUGACUGCAAAGCUGGAGUGCGGCAGAGGGGGAUGGAAUUCCGCGUGUAGCAGUGAAAUGCGUAGAUAUGCGGAGGAACACCGAUGGCGAAGGCAAUCCCCUGGGCCUGCACUGACGCUCAUGCACGAAAGCGUGGGGAGCAAACAGGAUUAGAAACCCUGGUAGUCC